GAUGACGCUGGCGGCGUGCCUAAUACAUGCAAGUCGAACGAGUUCUCGUUGAUGAUCGGUGCUUGCACCGAGAUUCAACAUGGAACGAGUGGCGGACGGGUGAGUAACACGUGGGUAACCUGCCCUUAAGUGGGGGAUAACAUUUGGAAACAGAUGCUAAUACCGCAUAGAUCCAAGAACCGCAUGGUUCUUGGCUGAAAGAUGGCGUAAGCUAUCGCUUUUGGAUGGACCCGCGGCGUAUUAGCUAGUUGGUGAGGUAAUGGCUCACCAAGGCGAUGAUACGUAGCCGAACUGAGAGGUUGAUCGGCCACAUUGGGACUGAGACACGGCCCAAACUCCUACGGGAGGCAGCAGUAGGGAAUCUUCCACAAUGGACGCAAGUCUGAUGGAGCAACGCCGCGUGAGUGAAGAAGGCUUUCGGGUCGUAAAACUCUGUUGUUGGAGAAGAAUGGUCGGCAGAGUAACUGUUGUCGGCGUGACGGUAUCCAACCAGAAAGCCACGGCUAACUACGUGCCAGCAGCCGCGGUAAUACGUAGGUGGCAAGCGUUAUCCGGAUUUAUUGGGCGUAAAGCGAGCGCAGGCGGUUUUUUAAGUCUGAUGUGAAAGCCCUCGGCUUAACCGAGGAAGCGCAUCGGAAACUGGGAAACUUGAGUGCAGAAGAGGACAGUGGAACUCCAUGUGUAGCGGUGAAAUGCGUAGAUAUAUGGAAGAACACCAGUGGCGAAGGCGGCUGUCUGGUCUGUAACUGACGCUGAGGCUCGAAAGCAUGGGUAGCGAACAGGAUUAGAUACCCUGGUAGUCCAUGCCGUAAACGAUGAAUGCUAGGUGUUGGAGGGUUUCCGCCCUUCAGUGCCGCAGCUAACGCAUUAAGCAUUCCGCCUGGGGAGUACGACCGCAAGGUUGAAACUCAAAGGAAUUGACGGGGGCCCGCACAAGCGGUGGAGCAUGUGGUUUAAUUCGAAGCAACGCGAAGAACCUUACCAGGUCUUGACAUCUUUUGAUCACCUGAGAGAUCAGGUUUCCCCUUCGGGGGCAAAAUGACAGGUGGUGCAUGGUUGUCGUCAGCUCGUGUCGUGAGAUGUUGGGUUAAGUCCCGCAACGAGCGCAACCCUUAUGACUAGUUGCCAGCAUUUAGUUGGGCACUCUAGUAAGACUGCCGGUGACAAACCGGAGGAAGGUGGGGAUGACGUCAAAUCAUCAUGCCCCUUAUGACCUGGGCUACACACGUGCUACAAUGGAUGGUACAACGAGUUGCGAGACCGCGAGGUCAAGCUAAUCUCUUAAAGCCAUUCUCAGUUCGGACUGUAGGCUGCAACUCGCCUACACGAAGUCGGAAUCGCUAGUAAUCGCGGAUCAGCACGCCGCGGUGAAUACGUUCCCGGGCCUUGUACACACCGCCCGUCACACCAUGAGAGUUUGUAACACCCGAAGCCGGUGGCGUAACCCUUUUAGGGAGCGAGCCGUCUAAGGUGGGACAAAUGAUUAGGGUGAA
rnacentral:rRNA from 1 species